GGUAUGUGGUCGUAGACCCGAAACCAGGUGAUCUACCCAUGUCCAGGAUGAAGUUCAGGUAACACUGAAUGGAGGUCCGAACCCACGCACGUUGAAAAGUGCGGGGAUGAGGUGUGGGUAGCGGAGAAAUUCCAAUCGAACUUGGAGAUAGCUGGUUCUCUCCGAAAUAGCUUUAGGGCUAGCCUCAUGUGUAAGAGUCUUGGAGGUAGAGCACUGUUUGGACUAGGGGCCCUCAUCGGGUUACCGAAUUCAGACAAACUCCGAAUGCCAAAGACUUAUCCAUGGGAGUCAGACUGCGAGUGAUAAGAUCCGUAGUCGAAAGGGAAACAGCCCAGACCACCAGCUAAGGUCCCAAAGUAUACGUUAAGUGGAAAAGGAUGUGGAGUUGCUUAGACAACCAGGAUGUUGGCUUAGAAGCAGCCACCAUUUAAAGAGUGCGUAAUAGCUCACUGGUCGAGUGACUCUGCGCCGAAAAUGUACCGGGGCUAAACGUAUCACCGAAGCUGUGGAUUGACACCUCUAGGUGUCAGUGGUAGGAGAGCGUUCUAAGGACUGCGAAGCUAGACCGUAAGGACUGGUGGAGUGCUUAGAAGUGAGAAUGCCGGUAUGAGUAGCGAAAGAUGGGUGAGAAUCCCAUCCACCGAAUGCCUAAGGUUUCCUGAGGAAGGCUCGUCCGCUCAGGGUUAGUCGGGACCUAAGUCGAGGCCGAUAGGCGUAGACGAUGGACAACAGGUUGAUAUUCCUGUACCACCUCUUUUCCGUUUGAGCAAUGGGGGGACGCAGGAGGAUAGGGUAAGCGCACUGCUGGAUAUGUGCGUCUAAGCAGUUAGGCUGAUGAUGAGGCAAAUCCCAUCAUCGUGAAGGCUGAGCUGUGAUAGCGAGCGAAUUAUAGUAGCGAAGUUCCUGAUUCCACACUGCCAAGAAAAGCCUCUAGCGAGGAAAAAGGUGCCCGUACCGCAAACCGACACAGGUAGGCGAGGAGAGAAUCCUAAGGUGAGCGAGAGAACUCUCGUUAAGGAACUCGGCAAAAUGACCCCGUAACUUCGGGAGAAGGGGUGCUCUGGUAGGGUGCAAGCCCGAGAGAGCCGCAGUGAAUAGGCCCAGGCGACUGUUUAGCAAAAACACAGGUCUCUGCGAAGCCGUAAGGCGAAGUAUAGGGGCUGACGCCUGCCCGGUGCUGGAAGGUUAAGAGGAGUGCUUAGCGCAAGCGAAGGUGCGAAUCGAAGCCCCAGUAAACGGCGGCCGUAACUAUAACGGUCCUAAGGUAGCGAAAUUCCUUGUCGGGUAAGUUCCGACCCGCACGAAAGGCGUAACGAUCUGGGCACUGUCUCAACGAGAGACUCGGUGAAAUUAUAGUACCUGUGAAGAUGCAGGUUACCCGCGACAGGACGGAAAGACCCCGUGGAGCUUUACUGUAGCCUGAUAUUGAAUUUUGGUACAGCUUGUACAGGAUAGGUAGGAGCCUUGGAAACCGGAGCGCCAGCUUCGGUGGAGGCAUCGGUGGGAUACUACCCUGGCUGUAUUGAAAUUCUAACCCGCGCCCCUUAUCGGGGUGGGAGACAGUGUCAGGUGGGCAGUUUGACUGGGGCGGUCGCCUCCUAAAGAGUAACGGAGGCGCCCAAAGGUUCCCUCAGAAUGGUUGGAAAUCAUUCGCAGAGUGUAAAGGCACAAGGGAGCUUGACUGCGAGACCUACAAGUCGAGCAGGGACGAAAGUCGGGCUUAGUGAUCCGGUGGUUCCGCAUGGAAGGGCCAUCGCUCAACGGAUAAAAGCUACCCCGGGGAUAACAGGCUUAUCUCCCCCAAGAGUCCACAUCGACGGGGAGGUUUGGCACCUCGAUGUCGGCUCAUCGCAUCCUGGGGCUGUAGUCGGUCCCAAGGGUUGGGCUGUUCGCCCAUUAAAGCGGUACGCGAGCUGGGUUCAGAACGUCGUGAGACAGUUCGGUCCCUAUCCGUCGUGGGCGCAGGAAAUUUGAGAGGAGCUGUCCUUAGUACGAGAGGACCGGGAUGGACGCACCGCUGGUGUACCAGUUGUCUUGCCAAAGGCAUCGCUGGGUAGCUAUGUGCGGAAGGGAUAAGUGCUGAAAGCAUCUAAGCAUGAAGCCCCCCUCGAGAUGAGAUUUCCCAUCACGUAAGUGAGUAAGAUCCCUAGAAGAUGACUAGGUAGAUAGGUCAGAGAUGGAAGCAUGGCGACAUGUGGAGUUGACUGAUACUAAUCGAUCGAGGACUUAACC
rnacentral:rRNA from 1 species